rnacentral:rRNA from 1 species
CUUAAGGAAUGCGACUUCGGUCAAAUGACUUUUGAACUUAGUGGCGGACGGGUGAGUAACGCGUGAGCAACCUGCCUUUCAGAGGGGGAUAACAUUUGGAAACAGAUGCUAAUACCGCAUAAGAUUACAGUACCGCAUGAUACAGUGAUCAAAGGAGCAAUCCGCUGAAAGAUGGGCUCGCGUCCGAUUAGAUAGUUGGUGAGGUAACGGCUCACCAAGUCGACGAUCGGUAGCCGGACUGAGAGGUUGAACGGCCACAUUGGGACUGAGACACGGCCCAGACUCCUACGGGAGGCAGCAGUGGGGAAUAUUGCACAAUGGGCGAAAGCCUGAUGCAGCAACGCCGCGUGAGGGAAGACGGUUUUCGGAUUGUAAACCUCUGUUUUCGGUGACGAAUAAAUGACGGUAACCGAGUAGGAAGCCACGGCUAACUACGUGCCAGCAGCCGCGGUAAUACGUAGGUGGCAAGCGUUAUCCGGAAUUACUGGGUGUAAAGGGAGCGCAGGCGGGAUAGCAAGUCAGCUGUGAAAACUAUGGGCUCAACCCAUAAACUGCAGUUGAAACUGUUAUUCUUGAGUGGAGUAGAGGCAAGCGGAAUUCCGAGUGUAGCGGUGAAAUGCGUAGAUAUUCGGAGGAACACCAGUGGCGAAGGCGGCUUGCUGGGCUCUAACUGACGCUGAGGCUCGAAAGUGUGGGGAGCAAACAGGAUUAGAUACCCUGGUAGUCCACACUGUAAACGAUGAUUGCUAGGUGUGGGGGGUCUGACCCCCUCCGUGCCGGAGUUAACGCAAUAAGCAAUCCACCUGGGGAGU